CAACUUGAGAGUUUGAUUCUGGCUCAGAACGAACGCUGGCGGCAUGCCUAACACAUGCAAGUCGAACGAGACCUUCGGGUCUAGUGGCGCACGGGUGCGUAACGCGUGGGAAUCUGCCC
rnacentral:rRNA from 1 species